CUUCUCUUUAGAACUCCGAAAAUCAAGGUUCGACUUGCAUGUGUUAAGCAUAUAGUCUGAGUAGCAUGAUUGGAGCUUCUUAAUGCUUAGGCCACUACCUAAAAGUAAGUUUUUCGCUCUUUUCCUCUUACAUAACUUAGAUGGAGGAGAUAGUAAGCAAGACUUUCUACGCAACGAUUUCUUCAUCUCUUAUGAUUUAUCUAGUUACAGGGG
rnacentral:lncRNA from 1 species